rnacentral:rRNA from 1 species
AUGAUCUCCAUCUGCAAAUCUGCUGAUAGCUGUGAAGAUUCUUACGAAUUAGUACUAGCGGCGAGGCGACUUCCUCCUUGUUGGAUGCCCCAUGGCUGCCUCCUCCGAUGCGUCGAGGCGAUCCCCUGCUUGUCGGCAGUGUCAGGACCGGUUCCUCCAGGGCGACCAGGCGAUCCCCUGCUGGUCGGCAGCGUGACGGCUGGCUCCUUCAGAGAGGCGAGGCGGCCUCGUCGUAUAUACGCUGGAAGCGCCAUGGGCGAGCCCCGUGGAGCCCUGGGCAGCGUACAGGCUAGUCGUGUGGCGGCUGACGAUGCUAGUCGACCUGCUCCUGAGCGUGCAGGGCAGCGUCGACGUUCUCAUCCCCCCGUAGCUGGACCAGAUGGACGAGCUAAAGUGCCAAACUGGUAG